AGUCGAACGGUAACAGGAAUUAGCUUGCUAAUUUGCUGACGAGUGGCGCACGGGUGCGUAACGCGUAUACAAUCUACCUUUUGCUGAGGGAUAGCCCAGAGAAAUUUGGAUUAAUACCUCAUAGUAUUAUUGAUAGGCAUCUAUUAAUAAUUAAAGGUUACGGCAAAAGAUGAGUAUGCGUCCCAUUAGCUAGUUGGCGAGGUAACGGCUCACCAAGGCAACGAUGGGUAGGGAUCCUGAGAGGGAGAUCCCCCACACUGGUACUGAGACACGGACCAGACUCCUACGGGAGGCAGCAGUGAGGAAUAUUGGACAAUGGGGGCAACCCUGAUCCAGCAAUGCCGCGUGUGUGAAGAAGGCCUGAGGGUUGUAAAGCACUUUCAAUUGUGAAGAAAGGUUAAUAGUUAAUACCUAUUGACUGUGACGUUAACUUUAGAAGAAGCACCGGCUAACUCCGUGCCAGCAGCCGCGGUAAUACGGAGGGUGCAAGCGUUAAUCGGAAUUACUGGGCGUAAAGCGUGCGUAGGUGGUUGUUUAAGUCAGAUGUGAAAGCCCCGGGCUUAACCUGGGAACUGCAUUUGAAACUGGAUAACUAGAGUAUAGUAGAGGAAAGUAGAAUUUCUGGUGUAGCGGUGAAAUGCGUAGAUAUCA
rnacentral:rRNA from 1 species